CCUANGGGGGGCAGCAGUGAGGAAUAUUGCGCAAUGUCCGAAAGGGUGACGCAGCGACGCCGCGUGGAGGAUGAAGGCCCUAUGGGUCGUAAACUCCUUUUGAGGGGGAAGAAUAGUUCCAUAUACUGGGAUUUGACGGUACCCCUAGAAAAAGCACCGGCUAACUACGUGCCAGCAGCCGCGGUAAUACGUAGGGUGCGAGCGUUGUCCGGAAUCACUGGGUGUAAAGGGAGCGCAGGCGGGUUGGCAAGUCCUUGGUGAAAUCCUGAGGCUUAACCUCAGUACUGCCAAUGAUACUGUCAAUCUUGAGUACAGAAGAGGAAGACGGAAUUCCUGGUGUAGCGGUGAAAUGCGUAGAUAUCAGGAAGAACACCGGUGGCGAAGGCGGUCUUCUGGUCUGUAACUGACGCUCAUGCUCGAAAGCGUGGGGAGCAAACAGGAUUAGAUACCCUANUANUC
rnacentral:rRNA from 1 species